rnacentral:rRNA from 1 species
UCAAAACUUUCAACAACGGAUCUCUUGGUUCCAGCAUCGAUGAAGAACGCAGCGAAAUGCGAUAAGUAAUGUGAAUUGCAGAAUUCAGUGAAUCAUCGAAUCUUUGAACGCACAUUGCGCCCCUCGGUAUUCCGGGGGGCAUGCCUGUUCGAGCGUC